rnacentral:tRNA from 1 species
GCCCCCGUAGCUCAGUGGAUAGAGCAACGGUUUCCUAAACCGCAGGUCGUAGGUCCGAUUCCUACCGGGGGCGCCA